UCCGUCCUACUCCAGAGAAGAGUAAAACUUAAGCCCCCCAAAAUGGAUUUUUGCAUAUCUCUGCAACUACGGGUUGAAUAUGAAGUAAUUUAAAAUGCAGUAAAGCUCAGCAAUUUAGUGCAUAGGUUAGCGAAAAUACACAUGUUUUGCCAAGAGGCUCCACACAGAUGGAAAACCUCUUUCUAGACACCAAUUCCCUGGGUUCUAAAUAAAAGUCCCCAGUUGACUUCAUUCACUGUGGAGCAUAUUUUUAUUUGUAGGUUUUGUGUCAAAAUAGUUGGUAGCACCUCGAAAGCUCAGGAAAAAGCCUCAAGAAAGAUUCUUUGCUACCCACAUUUAUAUCAGCAAUCAGGGCUGGGGAGAAAGUGGAUAAAGCAGUGAAAUAUAGACCUGUCAAGUGAUUGCAAAAAUUAGGAAACUCUUCCUGAAAGAAAGAAGUGGGUGAUGUAUGGACGUUCCAGUCUCUCACGUGUUGGAUGUACCCCAGAAGUUAUAGAUCUCGUUGUCAGCAGAAACAUGGAGGAAGAUAAGGGGAGAGAUUCUAGUCGCUUCCAGCUUUCCAUGUAUCAUUUUCAUGUACAAAUAUCUACUUCAGUGUCAGAAGGUCUGUGCAGAGAAAAAGCACGGGGAAGGGAAGAAAGAACCGAGCAGGUAGCAGCCAACACCUUCACACGGGGAGUCGCCUGGAAGUUCAGAGGUGAGCAUGAGGCUCUCUGCCCUUCAGGGCACCUCUAGAAAUCACAAAUUUCCCCACCCAUUCCCAAGGAAGUGAAAGGCAUCGGAAGUAGCAGAAGAAACGAGGUAAGUGCCGUGAGAGCUUAUUCAGCGUUAAGGAAGCUUCUUGCACACCUACAGUGUACCAGGCAUGCUGCUGGAGGCCCCUCAGAUCACGUGUACUUGUAUUUGGCUCCUAAUAACUUAAAAGCUGUCUCCAGCGUAAGCCUUGGCAGAACCCCAAAGUUAAAUUAAGCAAAGUUGAUAAGGGUUGGCGAUUCAUGUCCGUGUUGGCUCACACAACUGCUCAGCUUGGGAAGUUCUUCCCACUGUUUCUCCUCCCUACCCUGGUUUGGGU
rnacentral:lncRNA from 1 species